UGUAGGGAGGCUUUGGGUGAUCGUGAUGCUCUAUAGUCAAGACGUUUAUCAUAUUCAUGACUGCAGCUGGGCCAAAUGGAGGAUGUAUCAACAUCUGCGGCCUCCAACAGAUGCUGCUGUCAGACGGAGUAGAUGACCCACAUCUGCACAAAAGCAGAAUCAUCAAAGGGGAAUAUCUAGAAGCUUGAUUUGAUCCCCGUCUGCUCGGAAGCUGAUCCAUGGGAACGCCAUUAGAAGGUCAUAUCUGCAUAAUUACACACGCACGCACGCACACACACACACACACACACAGUGAGCAGCCAGACGUGGAUCUAGAGGCUGAAGGUGGGCGGACUGGAAUCCUACCUGCCUACCUGCUCCAUGUGUGCGUUUGGAAAAUACAUCACGAGCAUCAAAGUUCAUCCUCGACCUUAGAUGCACGCUGUGUGACAAAACAGUCCAACUCAGGCUGCUUUUAUUAGCGUUUGCCUGAGCUUUAAGACACAUGACAUGGCCUUCUUCAACCGAUAAACACACGCAAGCUGUCUCCUGUACAAAGUAUGUUUCCAUACAACAAACAAACAUGUCAGAGGCAGAUUACAACAGAAACACUCGAUUUUUCUAACAGAGCCAAUCAAUACCUUCAUGCAGAUAUGCUGUCAGACUUGCAGGCCCUUGAGGUACACAGGGGUGGACUGAAAUUUGAAGCUUUUUAGUGAUUUUUUUUUCCAUCAUAGAUGAGACGUCCACAUCAGUAUCAUGGGAUAUAUCAUAGUCUCAGUAGCAGACCUGCACCAAUUUAAUGUCUGUGAUGUAGAGAAACUUAAACAAUUUCUACCCUGGAUGUUUGACCUCUUUAACUGGAGAAAACUGCUUUUAAAACAACACAUUUUGGGUAAACUUUCAGUUCAGGGCUCAUAUCACCAUGUGGGAUAUGUGUUUGGCAGAAGCAAGCUAUAGCAUUUGAAAGAUCUCCUUUUUACCUACACUUGGAUACCGAGAUCAUCUUUUUGUCAGUCUUCCUUCUUUGUUAGAAUAAUUUUCCAGUGUAGUGAUAUUAGAACACUCUGGAUGUAGCUUACAGCCGUGAAACAUUGGUGUUCACGAGUUCUUUAUAAUAAUUUGGACAGAUCACACAACUUUAAGUCCUGAAGAAGUUUUUCCAAAUCUUUGAAGUGCCUGGAUUGCAGAGGGUCCCUGGAUCAGUAGAUGCCCCCUUCACAUUGUGACCCUUUUGUUUGGACAUGAGGUGGGAUCCUGUUUACUUACUUUAUAACUUUAGUGGGGAUAUUCCAGCUGCUGUGACACUUGUGAUGGGUGAAGUCUCCUCAUCUGCCAUUCAUACUCAAACCACUGAGAAAGUAUUUGGAAAAAGAAGAUGCUAAGCCUCAACAUGUAAAGAGAAACAAGACCUUUCAUGUGCUAUAACUUGUAUAGCCGUUGUUACCAUAAAGUCACAAUCCUGUAACUUCUUCUUCUCCUGUCCCUGUUCCAGAGCAGCUUAUUGAGUUUAUGUAAAUGAACAAAAACGACCUUCUUUUUUUUAAACUAAUGUUACAUUUUGUUAUCAACACAGUAUUCCUGCAGGAUUUUAUAUUCCAGCUUAAUCUGCAGUUUAGCUUUGAUAUUUGUUUUAUUUUCCUUCUGAAAUUAAUUAAAAGGAUCUGAGAAGCAAGCAGUUGCACCCACCUCCCCUUUCACUCCCUCUUUCACUCCCCCACUCUGCAAAUACUAGUUUUCUCAUCAUUUGGGCUUUUUGAAAGCACAUGAAAGGAGUUGCAGCUCUGUGUAAAUUGUACUUCUUUGUAUUUUGUUUUAUUCUAUUCUGCUGCAUUCAGGGUGUAAUGGCGGUGGUGGUGGGAGGGCAAGGGGGCGUUGACAGAAGCCGCUCUGGUUCUUGUCCCUAGGGUGUUUCACUGGUGGCGGGUGGCCUAAUUCCCCAAAAUAGCUCAUUGAUGGGGAAUCAGGAACAGUCAAAGAGAUCGCAUGGAGAUUUGAUGUGAGCUGCUGGCGGUCCUGAUGAGCAUCGAGGCCGUCGCUCUGCAAUCUACCGGGAGAGUGCCAUUUACGCGCUUCCUCUUACAUGCAAAUACACAAAGCCUCACCUAGUGUGUGAGAGCGCUAUCUGCAGUUUUUUAUGGAGUCGAUCCUUCAAAAAGCUGCAGGAGACGUGCUUUAUCUCGUUGCCUCAGUGUCAGUAAUGCUUCUCAUUUACGGUUGUCGGACACUGUGACACCAUGACCCCAUGACCCACUUGUUGGUUGCAAAGAUGAUGCUUCAGGAAGUGAAACUUCCUCUGAUGUUUGCACAAGAGUGUGAGAUGAAAAUCAGUAAUAAGCAGUGGCUUUUAUAGAAAGGCAAACUCAGCCAAUGAACCAGCUAGCAUCCACUUCACCGAAACAUCCACUCUGGACUCGUGGCAAAACAUGAAAAGAACGUUUAAAGGACUCCUUGUCUAAACUGACUGAUGCUGGCCUCAAUGUUUCUGCCCGGUCUAUGAACUUGUCUUGUUUUUUUAAUUUUGUUUGUUUGUUUUUCAUGAUAUACUUUAUAAAGAACACUGUCAACACACUAAUGUGUUUCCACAGGAAAUGUAUUUGAUGUCUGCACAAUUUAUGUUGUCCAGAUUCUUCAGAGGAGACGCUACACCCUGUUGACCAACAGAAUGGAGCUUUACUUAGAAGUUGAACAAACUAAAUAGGAGGCUUUUAUUUUAAAGAUCUGGCACCUUUAACCUAUCUGAUAAACUUUUGCAACUGACUACAGGCUUUUAUUUCAGUUUUUAGUUGUUUUUUUUGUUUGUUUGUUUUUUUGUGAGAUGAAAAAAUAAUCCUUUUGAAUUCCUAUAACUAUCCCAGGGCUUUUAUUUGGAAAACUAGACACGACUGUGGUCUACUGCAUAACUUUAUGUGUCUCAAUGAGAGAUUUUAUGUUGAAAAGCUGCCAGAGAUCAGGUGCUUCUGUGCUGCUGUCUGUUGUCCAGCAGUAUGUGUCUGUGAGAAAGACUGACCAAUCUGUCUUAUAGAAGUCUAUGGGAAAACAGUCCUCACUGGCUAAGUGACCUUAGUAAACACUUU